rnacentral:lncRNA from 1 species
GACCCAGGCGGCGGCGGCGACCCGCACCCAGCCCGCGCCCCCGGCCCGGCGCGCCCUGAUGGCCACCUCCCUGCAGCUACCGCAAACCGAGCCGAGGGGCUGCCACCGCCUCCCGGCUCCUGACCAAUCGGCGGCCGCGGAGGGAAUUCGGAUGCUCCGGUGCCGCCGCGCUCCCGCGCCUGCCCGCCCCCGCCUCCGUGACGAGGAUUGAGGCCGCAGCAGUGACGGUGGAGAGGCCGCAGCCGGGCUCGGGCACCGAUUCUGGGGCGGCGAGAACGCAGAUGCUGUGGUCUCACCAAAUGUCCAGGGGCUCCAUCCUGAUGGAACACCUGACCCCACUGCACAGCGGGGAGCCGCGACUCAGAGAGUCCGAAGUUGGCGGGUCAUAAUUUGGCUUCUGUUGCUGUUUCUCAGAGGGAACUGCUGAACUGGAAAAGGCCCAGUACCGAAGGAACAGACUUUUAAUUAUAUAGCUCGUCAUCUCCUUUCUUCCAGGUACUUGGGUUGGUUAAUGCCCUGAGCCCCACUGCAGGGAAAAGAUGAGCCAGCAGGAACGGUCUGCUGAUGAGAACUCUGUGCCGGAAGUGCAUGGACAUGGUUGACUGGGGUUAGAUCAAGAGUGGAGAAGGAAAGGCAAGCCUUGCUUCCAGUCACCAGUGUCAGUGGAGCCAAGAAGCCAGGAUGAGAUUCUAUGAUGAGAAAAGAGAAAAAUGUCACAGCAAUAAAAGUUGUACUGGUUUCUGUUACCAGAGGCCUACGUUGAAACAUAAUUGAUACAGAAAUACUAAACAGCAAACAAGACGAAGAAUAACCUGUAAAAUAGUCACUUCUGUUACUAAUGGUGGAAUUUUUAUAAAUCAGAGGCUUUCAUACAUAUAAGCUUUCAUAUAAUUAUUAAAAUGUUGAACCAUUUUUUAAUAUUAAUUUUUAACCAUUAAAAUAGACCAUUACUCCAUACGAUCAUGAAAAAGCUAGAUACAUAAUGACACAGAAAGAUGCACUGAUGAAUAAACAAGCGACACAUGUAUGUGAUCACCUUCAAUUUUUGUAUAUAAAAUCUUUGUAUAGAGUAAGGUGCAAUUUGUAUAAUAAGAGCACACAUAUUGAUAUAAAGGUAACUUCCUGGGAAAAUGCAUAGAAAAGCUUUGCAAUGUCUAUCUGUUAUUAGAACCGGUGGUUGGAGGAAAAAAGAUUUUAACUUUUUGUAUCAUGGCCUUCUGUACCUUUUUAUUUUUUCUAUGCAGAUAUAAUACUUUUUUAAAAUUUUUACUGGAGUAUAGUUGAUGUACAGUAUUGUGUUAGUUUCAAGUGUACAGCAAAGUGAAUCUGUUAUACAUAUAUCCACUCUUUUUUAAGAUUCUUUUCCUAAACAGGCCGUUGCAAAAUAUUGAGCAGACUUCCCUGUGCGAUACAGUAGGUCCUUAACAGUUGCCUAUUUUAUAUGUUGUAGUGUGUAUAUGGAGAAGGCAAUGGCACCCACUCCAGUACUCUUGCUUGGAAAAUCCCAU